UACGUAGGGGGCAAGCGUUGUCCGGAAUUAUUGGGCGUAAAGAGCGUGUAGGCGGUCCGGUAAGUCCGCUGUAAAAGUCAAAGGCUCAACCUUUGAAUGUCAGUGGAUACUGCCGGGCUAGAGUCCGGAAGAGGCGAGUGGAACUCCUGGUGUAGCGGUGGAAUGCGCAGAUAUCAGGAAGAACACCAACGGCGAAGGCAGCUCGCUGGGACGGUACUGACGCUGAGACGCGAAAGCGUGGGGAGCGAACAGG
rnacentral:rRNA from 1 species